ensembl:lncRNA
UGCACCGCCAGGAGGUCCCAUUAGUCCCCCAAAUUGGGAGGAUGACAACGCAGAGGUGAGGACCCACAUGUUGUUGUCAUUUCUGAUUUGUGGGAGGGGAAGGGAUAAAGAAGUGCUGCACAACUCACUUGUCUUAGGUGGGUGCCACGGGCAGCUGGCUGGAAGCACAGCCCUUGCUGGGAAGCUCCAAGUUGUCCAUUCCUGCAAGUCCCUCCUUGCUGGUGUCCAUAGAGGGAGAAGCCCUUGCCAGGAUGGACCUGGCAGAUCCAUAUGUUUCUUGGAAUUCUAGCACUGACUGAUAGAGUUCUUUAUUCCCAAUGCCUGUUGUGGUUUCCUUUCUUCAGCAGCUCUUUCAUCUAACAUGAAGUGCUUAGAGUUAAAAUAGCAGAAUUUGCCAGUUUAAAAGAGAACAAGGGAACGAAACAGCUCCAGCCCAAAUUGCAUUAGGGCACAGGAAGAGGGGAGGAGGGAGGAGGGUUUUCAGGUGGUUCCUAAGCUAUCUCUGUUUGUACCCUGUUGAGAGCAGAAUCAGCAGCAGCCACUUGGUUGUUUUCAGGGCAGCAGCUGUUUGUGCUCCUGCUUUGAAUGCUCUUAAGCCAACUUGGAGGCUGAUAGCCUAGCCUUCCUCACUCCUCUGCUAGAACUGCUUUCUGAGCUGAGGUUUGCAUGCAGCACAGGGGGCUCACCCAAUCUAAUUGUAUUUUCUUUUCUUUCCCUUCUCAUGUGCAUCAAUGGAAGUUUCCUGAAGUGCAUGGAGAAGAAAGGAGAACUGCUGCACUGAACAGCCAGGAACAGGUGGAUGGCUCUGCUGAUGGCACAGGAGCUAAUGACUCACCUGUGGCUGAUGCAGCCCCUGCAGAACACGGAGCAGAGGAGCAUGCUGGAAGUUCAGCUGCAGAGCCAGGAGUUGUCAUUAGCUGUCCAAUUUGCAUGGACUAUUACUCAGAGGUAAGGAUGCACCUCUUGUCAUGCUUUGUGCUUUGUGGGAGGAGGAAGAAGCCAAAAGGGGAGUUGCCCAAGUCAGCUGGCUGAUGUGGGCAGCUGGCUGGAAGCACAGCCCUUGCUGGGAAGCUCCACAAGUCCCUUCUUGCUGGUGAAUGGAGAGGGAGAAGCCCUUGCCAGGAUGGCACUGGCAGAUCUGUGGGUCCCUCCUGGCUUCUAACUGAUUCCAGAUGCUCUCAAGUCUCAUUUGCCUGCUGCCAAUAGAGCAGAAAACUCCAAUUCUUUCCUCCCAAUACAUGUGGUUGUUGUUUCCUUUCUUCCAGAUCAUGCAAAAUGGACGACAGCUUGUGACAACUGUGUGUGGCCACGUGUUCUGCAGUGGGUGCCUCCCUGCUGCCCUGGAGAACACCGGCAUGUGCCCAAUGUGCGGCGUGCAACUCGAUCCAGGGUUGUACUUUCCUAUUUAUUUAUGAGUGCUUCUGCUGCUCAGGACAGUCUCAGGUGGACCUUGAAGAACAGGCGGUGCAGAGGCUUGCUUCUUUCUGUAUAUAGUUUUUUUCUGUACAUAGUUUCAUGUUUUCUGCGUUCAGUUAUACAUAAAGUUUUGAUUGAUUUAAAUCUAGUCUGUCUGCUCUUCUGUGUUGGACUGUGCUGAUAAACAGAGAUGUUGUUUACCAGGUGGAAAUCAGGCUCUUGGUUUGAGCAGUCAGAAGCUCGUUCUUUUCAUCAUACCGUAGUCACUGAUUUGGGGGAAAUGUGCUAAAGCCAUGGGCUUUGUAGUUCUUGUGGCCAACAAAUAAUAAUUGAAUAGUAAUUGUGGCAAAUAAAGUGUGUCUUGUACAGGGAAAAGAAACA